UACGUAGGGGGGCAAGCGUUGUCCGGAAUCAUUGGGCGUAAAGCGCGUGUAGGCGGCCCGGUAAGUCCGCUGUGAAAGUCCAGGGCUCAACCCUGGGAUGCCGGUGGAUACUGUCGGGCUCGAGUCCGGAAGAGGAGUGUGGAAUUCCUGGUGUAGCGGUGAAAUGCGCAGAUAUCAGGAGGAACACCAAUGGCGAAGGCAGCACUCUGGGACGUGACUGACGCUAGACGCGAAAAGCGUGGGGGAGCAAACAGG
rnacentral:rRNA from 1 species